rnacentral:rRNA from 1 species
UGCUCAGAUUGAACGCUGGCGGCAGGCCUAACACAUGCAAGUCGAGCGGUAACAUGUCUAGCUUGCUAGAUGAUGACGAGCGGCGGACGGGUGAGUAAUGCUUGGGGAUCUGCCUUAGAGUGGAGGAUAACCAUUGGAAACGAUGGCUAAUACUGCAUAGUAUCUGCGGAUUAAAGGGGGCUUAGGCUCUUGCUUUAAGAUGAACCCAAGUGGGAUUAGCUAGUUGGUGAGGUAAUGGCUCACCAAGGCGACGAUCCCUAGCUGGUCUGAGAGGAUGAUCAGCCACACUGGAACUGAGACACGGUCCAGACUCCUACGGGAGGCAGCAGUGGGGAAUAUUGCACAAUGGGCGAAAGCCUGAUGCAGCCAUGCCGCGUGUGUGAAGAAGGCCCUAGGGUUGUAAAGCACUUUCAGUCAGGAGGAAAGGUUAGUAGUUAAUACCUGCUAGCUGUGACGUUACUGACAGAAGAAGCACCGGCUAACUUCGUGCCAGCAGCCGCGGUAAUACGAGGGGUGCAAGCGUUAAUCGGAAUUACUGGGCGUAAAGCGAGCGUAGGCGGCUGAAUAAGCUGGAUGUGAAAAACCGGGGCUCAACCUCGGCCGUGCAUUCAGAACUGUUUAGCUAGAGUCCUGUAGAGGGGGGUAGAAUUUCA